rnacentral:rRNA from 1 species
UACAGAGGGUGCGAGCGUUGUUCGGAAUUAUUGGGCGUAAAGCGCUUGUAGGCGGCUUGUUAAGUUCCGUGUGAAAUCCCCAGGCUUAACCUGGGAAGUGCGCGGAAAACUGGCGAGCUUGAAUGCCGGAGAGGGUCGCGGAAUUCCCGGUGUAGAGGUGAAAUUCGUAGAUAUCGGGAGGAACACCAGUGGCGAAGGCGGCUUCCUGGCCCUGUUCUUGACGCUGAGG